GAUGAACGCUAGCGGCAGGCCUAACGCAUGCAAGUCGAGGGGCAGCGUAGAUUGCUUGCAAUCUGACGGCGACCGGCGAACGGGUGCGUAACGCGUAUAGAACCUACCUUUUACAGAGGGAUACCCCAUGGAAACGAUGAUUAAUACCCUAUAUGACCACAAUGCCGCAUGGCAUAGUGGUAAAAACUCCGGUGGUGCAGGAUGGUCUCGCGUCUGAUUAGCUAGUUGGUGAGGUAACGGCCCACCAAGGCGACGAUCAGUAGCCGGCCUGAGAGGGUGAACGGCCACACUGGAACUGAGACACGGCCCUU
rnacentral:rRNA from 1 species